AUUGAACGCUGGCGGCAGGCCUAACACAUGCAAGUCGAACGGUAACAGGAAGCAGCUUGCUGCUUCGCUGACGAGUGGCGGACGGGUGAGAAAUGUCUGGGAAGCUGCCUGCUUGGGGGGGAUAACUACUGGAAACGGUAACUAAUACCUCAUAAUUUCUCCAGACCAAAGGGGGGUGCCUUCGUUCCUCUUGCCGUGGGGUGUGCCCGGGUGGGAUUCGAUUGUUGGUGGGGUAACGUCUCACCAAGGCGACGAUCCCUAGAUGGUGUGAGGGGAUGCCCAGCCACACUGGAACUGAGACACGGUCCAGGCGACUGCGGGAGGCAGCAGUGUGGAAUAUUGGACAGAGGGCGGAAGCCUGAUGCAGCCAUGCCGCGUGUAUGGAGAAGGCCUUCCGGGCGUAAAGUACUUUCAGCGGGGAUGAAGCGAGUAAGGUUAAGACCAUUGCUCAUUGACGGUAACCGGAGAAGAAGCACCGGCUAACUACGUG
rnacentral:rRNA from 1 species